GGACAGCUCUCGGUCAGUGCAGUUGCCUCCGUUGAAGCAGGUGUAGUUCCUGGUGUCGUCUCCACACACAGAAACUGGCAGCUUGGGCCUGUUUCUGGGUUCAGGAAAAAUCAGACAAGUAAGAAGAUGCUGAUUCUGGAGCUGUCCUGGGUGUUUGGUGAUUUGUGCAGCAGGAAUCCCACCAGCAGCAACUGAUGAGCCCCAUUCUGGCAUGGCUGCUCUUGGCACUCGUCGAUGUUGAUUUCGCACCGGUGUCCCUGGAAACCGGACGGGCAGGUGCAAGUGAAGCCACCGGGGUAGUCAUGACAACUGCCGC